rnacentral:misc_RNA from 1 species
GAACCAGCAAGAAGAUAGCCCACAAUGACCGGCUGUCCCAAACAAGAAAAAACAAUUCCACCAAUGGCAGCAGAAACUAUGACAACAACCAGAUCUGAAAUUAAUCUCAAAUCUACUUGAAGUAUUGGGUACUUGGAUUUCUUGUUUGACAUCACAAAUACAUUGUCCUUUUUGUCAAUAAGAGUUGUCAUGUCCUCAGAAUCUUCAUUUUCAAGUGAAAAUACAUUUGGAAACUGGAAUGAUUUUGUUCCAUUAGCCACUUGUGUAUCAUUUUUCUUGGCCUUCUCAUGAGUGAUUUUAGCUACAGUCUCCAAUACAGCCUGUUGAUCAGCUACACUGCUGUUGAAGCUGCUUCCAUCAGAACCUUC